CCCACAUUUCAGACACCGUUGUGAAGCAUAAACAAAAUAGACACAGAAUACAUGAUACACACUGAAAGCCAGGACUCCAUGGAUCAUGAGGAUAUGUUAAUUGUCUGCCUGGGACCUACCAUUAUUGAUCACCAGCCCCGAGAGUCAAAAUGUUUAUUUUACACAAUGUUUUCAUCAAACAGCAAACAUCUUACAAGGAAAGCUUCGAUUUGGUCUGUGUUUGAGCUAUAGGUAUCAAAUGAAUCCUUAGGUUGUUAGGAACAAAUCUAGCCUACUGCCAUUGUUAUCUGAUGAAGUAUGACUUAAUGGAAACAUCGAAUGUCCACCAAGGGACUAUCUUUGCGCAUAAAAAAUAUUAUGUCGCCUGCUUACGUGCUGUAGGCAUCCAUUACACAGGGGAAUGGCUACUAAAAAAGACAACUAUGAAUAAGUAUACCGAAAUAGAAUCUUUGAAUAAAAUACCGGAGUCAGACUCGAGAAUCAGGGGAGCGAUUUGGACAACGAAGUUUUCAACUCGGCUGACGAAGAUUGUUUUCUAGAGGAUUGGAUCCACUUUUAGAUCUACUAGAGGUUGCAGAAGAUUUGGAUGUUGGCGUUUGGGAGCCACCCUUCCCCAGCAAGCGCCCCCGCCGGUCAAGGUCUUCACCCCCCACUGCUAUAUCAAUCAGCCUGUCUGAUGGUUCUACAUCCAUUUUUUUCUUCAGACCUCUUGAAAAAGAAAAUAGGGGCUUGUGGCACCAUUUGUCCUAACAGAACCAGUUUCCCCGAGACCAAGGUAAACAGCAUGACAAAGACAGCGGAGAGGGGGACCAUACGUUGGAUCAGGACUAACAAGCUGCUUUUUGUGAAAUGGAAGGACACCAGGGAAGUAACCAUGCUCACCACACAGCAUAAGGCCUUCAAUAACAACCAUGUCUCAAGGAGGGUGAAAAAUGCGAAUGGGCAUGGGUGAGGAAGAACAUCCCCAUUCCUGUUUCUGUGAAGGACUACAAUCACAGCAUGCUCUGAUAGGCUACAACCAGGUCCUCCACAAGACCAGGAAGUGGUAUGAGCCUAUGUUUUUUACAACUUUGUGGACAUUGCUACAGUAAAUGCUUUCUUUCAUUCUCCACAAGCAGAUGGCCAAAGCAAAAGGUCAAACCCCUCUCUCACAGUUGGCCUUCAGAAAGCAGCUAGUGUUGGAAAUGGCUGAAUUGGGGGCCCAAAGCAACUUCACAACCGUCACAAGACCCACUCAAGGUGAGCUCCAUUAUCCAACACACAUGCAAAAAGACAAAAGGAAGAACUGCAAGCAUUGCACAAAACACAGGUGGGGGAAAAAGGGUGAAAUGCCAGAUCUUCUGUCUGAAAUGCCAGUUCACUUUUUGUUUCCUGGCAGAGGGGGACUGCUUCAAAGACUAUCAGGACGUGCACAUGCCAUGGUGAAAGUGAAAUCGGAUUUAAAACAAACACGAACGCCAUUGGUAAAUAGUUAGCUUGUUUCUAUUUUUGCACCUUUUUUAGUGAAGGACACGUGUGUAACCAAGUUUGUGUUUGAUAAGACAUUUUAUAUAUUUUUUUAAUGUAUAUCUGUUGCUUUUAUAUUAUUUUUGUAAACAGUACAUUUUUAUUUAGGACCAAUACAUUGGAUAUGCCUAAGCUAAAUGUUAAGGCACUUUGGAGAGGUUGAAAAAAAAAAUGGAUAUCCCCUGUUUGGCACCUAAAACCACCACAAUAGUUUGAAAGAGUUGGGUGUUGUAUACAUUUAUUUUUUAUAGUGAACAAUACCUUUUAGGCACAUCCAGUGUGCUGAAACAGUGCAAUUACCACAUUCGGACACUUUGGAGAGGUUGAAAGGACAAAUAUGUAAUAGCAUUGGAAUUAUCUAAUGUACAGGCAUAUAACCACUUUGGAGAGGUUUAGGGAUACUUGGAAAUGUCCCGUGACCACACCUGACAGCACUUAUUAAAACAUCUUCCCAUU